rnacentral:miRNA from 1 species
UCGUGAUCUUUAGCGGUGUUU